rnacentral:lncRNA from 1 species
UCACAUGCCCCAACGUCAUCAUAAGAUCCAUCUCGAGGUCCUACAUCAUCUCCAAAUUCACUAUAAGCACUAGGCACUUCAUUCACCUCAUUUUCCCCCUCAAAACCGUAACUCUCAAAUCUGCCCAAGUUUUGAUCAUGGCUAUUUUCAUAGCCUCCGCAAUCUCCCUCAACUUCGUAGUCAUAAAACCCCUCACUACAAUCAUAGUCUCCCAUGUUGUAGUCACAAUAAUCUCCGGCUAU